UUUGAUCCUGGCUCAGAUUGAGCGCUGGCGGAUGCUUUUACAUGCAAGUCGGGCAGCAACACGGACUUCGGUCUGGUGGCGAGUGGCGAACGGGUGAAGUAACGUAUCGGAACGUGCCUAAUGUGGGGGAUAGCUUCACAUGGCGGCAUCGCUAAUACCGCAUACGCCCUUCGAAGCGGGGGACCUUCCGGGCCUCACUGUGAAACAAGCCGAUAUCGGAUUAGGCUGGUUGGGUGGUGGCAGCUCUGGGCGACGAUCCGUAGCUGGUUUGAGAGGACGACCAGCCACACUGGGACUGAGACGGCCCGGACUCCACAGGAGGCAGCAGUGAAAUUUUGGACAAAUGGGGAAACCCUGAUCAGCCAUCCCGCGUGCGAUGAAGAUAUUCGGGUUGUAAAAGCACUUUUGGCAGGAAAGAAACGGCACGGGAUAAUACCCGAUGCAACUGGCAGUACCUUACCAGAAUAAGCACCGGCUAACUACGUGCCAGCAGCCGCGGUAAUGCAUGGGUGCGGCGUUAAUCCCGGAAUUACUGGGCGUAAAGCGUGCGCGGGCGGUUCGGAAGAAGAUCGGAAGCAACUUUGGAACUGCAUUUUUAACUACUGGGCUAGAGUGUGUCAGAGGAGGUGGAAUUCCGCGUGUAUGAUGAAAUGCGUACUGGAGGAACACCGAUGGCGAAGGCCUCCUGGGAUAACACUGGCGCUCAGCGGUGCGGAGCAAACAGGAUGAAUACCCUGGUAGUCCACGCCCUAAACGAUGUCAACUAGCUGUUGGGGCCUUUGAGCCUUGGUAGCGCAGCUAACGCGUGAAGUUGACCUGCCACCAGAAUGCAGUCGCAGGAUUAAAACUCAAGGAAUUGACGGGGACCCGCACAGAGGCGGUGGAUAAUGUGGAUUAAUUCGAUGCGCGAAAAGUACCACCUACGUAAUGUCUGGAAUCCCGAAGAGAUUGGGAGUACUCACCAAGAGAACCGGAACACAGGUGCUGCAUGGCUGUCGUCGUCGUCGUGAGAUGUUGGGUUAAGUCCCGCAACGAGCGCCUUUGUCAUUAGUUGCUACGAAAGGGCACUCUAAUGAGACUGCUGACAAACCGGAGGAAGGUGGGGAUGACGUCAAGUCCUCAUGGCCCCUAUGGGUGGGGCUUCACGAUGUACAAUGGUCGGGACAGAGGUCUUCAACCACGGAGGCCAAUCCCAGAAACCCGAUCGUAGUCCGGAUCGCAGUCUGCAACUCGACUGCGUGAGAGUCGAAUCGCUAGUAAUCGCGGAUCAGCAUGUCGCGGUGAAUACGUUCCCGGGUCUUGUACCACCACCCGUCACACCAUGGGAGUGGGUUUGCAAGUAGUUAGCUAACCGUAAGGGCGAUUACACAGUGGAUUCAUGACUGGGGUGAAGUCGUGUCAAGGUAACUCUGUUGCUACACAGUGUCCAGAAC
rnacentral:rRNA from 1 species